ACAAUUCCAUGUUUUGGCUAAGAAGCCAUGUGCAGGAGGGCAAGAGGAGAGGAAGUAUCCUGGAUUUCUCAGAUGACUCUGAUCUAAGCCUGAGAACUCAAGAGUGGUGAAAAAACUCAGGCAGGGAAAAUGUGUAUAGUCUCUGCAGUGCAUUGUGACUUGGAACUGUGUGCUCCCUUGGAACAUCAAAUCUAUUGCUGCGAGGAGAUGGAUUGAGCCUCCAUGAGUCUCUCAUUUGUGUAUGUUUUACAUGUGACAUCACUUUUUUGUCAAGACCUGCAUUAAUUGUCAUCAAACUGGCAAGCUGACCCUUCUCUUCUGAAAUACACCUCUACUCCGAUAUAACGUGACCCGAUAUAACGCGGGUUCGCAUAUAACACGGUGAUAUCUUCCCUGUUUCAAAGUUGGCUUCACUGUUUCUAAAAGACUCCACAGAGGUGCACCAGAAAACUCCAUAGUCCAUGUCUCUCUCUACUCCAUUUCCUGCUGCAUGUUUGGCUAGAACUGGCUUCCUCUCAUUCCCUUCAGUCUUAGCCCCAUUUGUGAAGAGGUCUUAUAUCCAGCUGCUCUUGACAUCUGGAAAAGCCUCUCUCUUUCUGUUUUCCUAUUGAGCUCUGCCUAUACUUGCAUAUCUCAGUAGGAAGUAGAGAGGAUCUUUUCUGCUUUGCUUACACUAGGACAGGGUUUAACACUAAAAAUACCAGUGAGCAUGAGCAAUUAACACUGUAAAUGUAUAAUUUAGUUCUAGAGUAUUUUGGGAAAUUGUAUGAAAAAUAUUAUCCAAAAUAAAGUUUGCUA